rnacentral:lncRNA from 1 species
AAGAGGAACUAAAAAGAUAUAAAAUUCUGAUUAAAAAUUGUGAAAAAAGUUCACUAUAGAAACAAAACUCAAAGAUUAAAGCAAUUAAAAAAACCAAAAAAAGUCCAGAUUGUUGUCUUAGAAAAUCAGUUUCGUCUUUGUGGCAUGCGGAAGAGAUCAACCCCUAUUUAGUAUUUGCUUUGGCUAGAGAGAGAGAGAGAGAGAGAGAGAGAGAGCAUGGAGGCGGCAAAGUUUACAAGUAUAGGGAGGUCUCUGCAGGUACCCUGUGUCCAGGAGCUGGCUAAGAGUACUCAGGCUACGGUUCCGCCCCGAUACGUGCGUGCCGAUCAAGACCCGAUCAAAUUCGACACCUUUUCGUUACCUGAAAUCCCAGUUAUUGACCUGCAAAGAUUACUUUCAGGAGAUUCAAUGGAUUCAGAGCUCGAAAAUUUCCACUCUGUCUGCAAAAACUGGGGUUUUUUUCAGGUAUCAAUUAAUACUUGUGCGCGCGCGUGCAUAUUUGCAUGGGCGGACCCAAGAAGGGCCCGUGGGGACCGCUGACUUUUAAACAAUAUAAUUUUUUAAUUUUUUUUUUAAUUCUAUCUUCAAUAAUUGAAUAAUAAGAUAUUUUCCCAACUCAUUAAUGAAAUAGUCAGUUUUUAUUUUUUAACUUAUUUUACAUUUAAUUAUAAAUAAUUUUGUACAUGGACUCUAAUAGAAGGCUCCGUUUGGUACUUCUUAAAGUCAAGAUUUUUUUAACUUGCUUACCAAAAAAUUAAGUUUUUUUGAUUUUUUUGAUUUUUCUAGUUUUACUUUAGUUAAAAAUAAGCAAAAAAAUAAAAAACAAAAAACAAAAAGUCAAUUCUAACUGAUUUUUUUGUUUAUAAGUUUAAAAAAAAUCAGCCGAAAAACUAAAAAAAUUGAUGCCAAACAGAGCCUAAGUUUUGGCCCCAUUGAUAUAAAUUUCUGGAUCCGCUCCUGCAUAUUUGUGUAUAUAUAUAUAUAUAGCUUACUAGACUGACUAAUCUGAGAAAAAAAUUUUACCGUCCAAAAGCUAAGAACCCAUUUAAA